UGCGUCGGGCCGUAUCGUUCGUGGGUACGGCUGUUGAAAGUUCGUGGGACCCAUCGGCACGUCUUACCAAAGUUUGAGUGCGCGGGGCCAAGGAUAGAGUGGUGGAUGAUGCGAAGGAGCGAGGCUCGUGGCUGUGAUAUUGGAGCGGCCUCGGUGGAAGCUGCUGACGGGGCGACCUGCCUCGGCAAACGGUGAUCUGCUGAUUCGUGCUUAGAAAUAGAUGUCGAGCCAUCUCUCAACUUCUCUUCAAGACACAAACAGGGAUGUGAACACGUGCAAAAUUAUUUGAGAAUAAAAUGAAGCAAAAUUCAUCGGGCUUAUGAUGAACCAUAAGACACAAGAGGCCGGGUGGCAGCGUUCAGCUAGG